GGGGGUGUACUGGUUUCGACUUGGAAAUAAAGUACCGGUGGCAUGCAGAGGAUUCGGCUGGCCUCUUAAAAAAGCCGAGACCAAUAAUUGUCGAUACUACAGAAGACUUUUAUUUAGAAGCUGCUUAAGACCUAACCCGUCUAUCUAGUAGCCGAUAGCCUCGGACUGGACCAAGGGUCUGGGGGUUCUAUCGCAGGAUUCUUGGUAUGAACACGCAUCCUCUCGAUCUCAAGAGCGUGUGUUCGAGAUUAACAAGAGAUGUGUCAGCCCCUAGUGGGGUGCCUUACAGCAAGGCUGGCACUAUACAUGAGGCACUAAGCAUGUAGGCAUUGCUAUGGAGUUUACUAAGGACGAGAGUUCGAUUCUCUCCACCUCCAGUU
rfam:Simkania negevensis Z main chromosome, complete genome